rnacentral:lncRNA from 12 species
AAGAGUAAUUACCAGGGAUCACUGUGGCUACUAGAAGUUGCUUCUGCAAUUGCAGCGCUUUCUGCUUCGCUGCAGUGUGUGUACCCUGUGCAUAGAGAGCAGAGGAGGGAAGUUGCUGCCAUCAUUUAUCGGUGUGAAACAAAUUGUGGGACCUAGCUCCACUCCUAAUGUUUGGGCUAGCUGGAGUAGAUCCUGUCUAACUAAAGGGACACCACAACAAACACCCUGUAAGCAGGUUGCUGAAACAAGAAGCGUGUCCAGCCUCCAGGGCUAAUAAGAGCACGUUGUCCUUGGUGGCAGGAGGGAGCACUUUGCUUUAUCUAUGCAUUCCCUGGCAAGCAGCAGUGGUGGAGAAAGAGACAUGUCUCACUGCCCAGGCCAUGUCCUGCUCAUGAGGCUCCUGCUCAGCUGCUCUGUAGCUUCCCCCCACCCGGAGGGAGGACAGGCGAGAAGAGGUGAUGACUUUCAACAAAGGUUAAGGCUGGAAAAGAAGGAAGUGUCAGCUCAAUCAGUUUUGGGAGCAUGGAUUUGGAGAUGGACUUGACUCCUACUAAAGUUUGGAAGUCCAGUCUUGGCACCCUCUGAUUUCUCCAGAAGAAGGCUGAGGGCUGGAUCUGAAUCAAUUCUUAUGCUGCAGCUCCUCUCCAUAUUCACAGCAAACCCAGAAGCUUUGUGAAGCUGGCAGUGACACGGCUCCAUUUCCUUCUGCCCAGGUCUGAGGUGCCUCUUUUGGGAUGGGAGCAACUGAGUCUCACCAAUCUGUCAGCAACCAGGAGGAAGCCAGGGAACAAAUGCUUCCUAUUCAAUAAAAGUUGGUGCUGUACUUCAUACAGCAGCC